rnacentral:rRNA from 1 species
GUAGAACGCUGAAGCUUGGUGCUUGCACCGAGCGGAUGAGUUGCGAACGGGUGAGUAACGCGUAGGUAACCUGCCUCUUAGCGGGGGAUAACUAUUGGAAACGAUAGCUAAUACCGCAUAAAAGUCGACAUCGCAUGAUGUUGACUUGAAAGGUGCAAUUGCAUCACUAAGAGAUGGACCUGCGUUGUAUUAGCUAGUUGGUGAGGUAACGGCUCACCAAGGCGACGAUACAUAGCCGACCUGAGAGGGUGAUCGGCCACACUGGGACUGAGACACGGCCCAGACUCCUACGGGAGGCAGCAGUAGGGAAUCUUCGGCAAUGGGGGCAACCCUGACCGAGCAACGCCGCGUGAGUGAAGAAGGUUUUCGGAUCGUAAAGCUCUGUUGUAAGAGAAGAACGAGUGUGAGAGUGGAAAGUUCACACUGUGACGGUAACUUACCAGAAAGGGACGGCUAACUACGUGCCAGCAGCCGCGGUAAUACGUAGGUCCCGAGCGUUAUCCGGAUUUAUUGGGCGUAAAGCGAGCGCAGGCGGUUAGAUAAGUCUGAAGUUAAAGGCUGUGGCUUAACCAUAGUACGCUUUGGAAACUGUUUAACUUGAGUGCAGAAGGGGAGAGUGGAAUUCCAUGUGUAGCGGUGAAAUGCGUAGAUAUAUGGAGGAACACCGGUGGCGAAAGCGGCUCUCUGGUCUGUAACUGACGC